rnacentral:rRNA from 1 species
AUUGAACGCUGGCGGCAGGCCUAACACAUGCAAGUCGAACGAGUGGCGGACGGGUGAGUAAUGUCUGGGAAACUGCCUGAUGGAGGGGGAUAACUACUGGAAACGGUAGCUAAUACCGCAUACCAUCGGAUGUGCCCAGAUGGGAUUAGCUAGUAGGUGGGGUAAAGGCUCACAUAGGCGACGAUCCCUAGCUGGUCUGCGAGGAUGACCAGCCACACUGGAACUGAGACACGGCCCAGACUCCUACGGGAGGCAGCAUUGGGGAAUAUUGCACAAUGGGCGAAAGCCGGAUGCAGCAAUGCCGCGUGGAUGAAGAAGGCCUUCGGGUUGUAAAGUACUUUCAGCGGGGAGGCGUUACCCGCAGAAGAAGCACCGGCUAACUCCGUGCCAGCAGCCGCGGUAAUUC